GAGCAAGUCGAUGAGGAGGCCCAGGAAGCACGCUGAAACGCUGGGCGGCGGCAAGCUGGGCGACGUUUUCUGCGGCCGGCCUGGGCAGGUGUCUUCCUCGAGAGGCCGGCAGGGGAUCCCGGACGAUGCUGUGUUCUUGGCUCUUUUGUGAAUGUCUGUUGCUGGUAGCUGGUUAUGCUCAUGAUGAUGACUGGAUAGACCCCACAGACAUGCUUAACUAUGAUGCUGCUUCAGGAACAAUGAGAAAAUCGCAGGCAAAAUAUGGUGUUUCAGGGGAAAAGGAUGUCAGUCCUGACUUGUCAUAUGCUGAUGAAAUAUCAGAAUGUUAUCACAAACUUGAUUCUUUAACUUAUAAGAUUGAUGAGUGCGAAAAGAAAAAGAGGGAAGACUAUGAAAGUCAAAGCAAUCCUGUUUUUAGGAGAUACUUAAAUAAGAUUUUAAUUGAAGCUGGAAAGCUUGGACUUCCUGAUGAAAACAAAGGCGAUAUGCAUUAUGAUGCCGAGAUUAUCCUUAAAAGAGAAACGUUGUUAGAAAUACAGAAGUUUCUCAGUGGAGAAGACUGGAAACCAGGUGCCUUGGAUGAUGCACUAAGUGAUAUUUUAAUUAAUUUUAAGUUUCAUGAUUUUGAAACAUGGAAGUGGCGAUUUGAAGAUUCCUUUGGAGUGGAUCCAUAUAAUGUGUUAAUGGUACUUCUUUGUCUGCUCUGCAUCGUGGUUUUAGUGGCUACCGAGCUGUGGACAUACGUACGCUGGUACACUCAGUUGAGACGUGUUUUAAUCAUCAGCUUUCUGUUCAGUCUAGGAUGGAAUUGGAUGUAUUUAUAUAAGCUAGCUUUUGCACAGCAUCAGGCUGAAGUCGCCAAGAUGGAGCCAUUAAACAAUGUGUGUGCUGAGAAGAUGGACUGGACUGGAAGUAUCUGGGAAUGGUUUAGAAGUUCAUGGACCUAUAAGGAUGACCCAUGCCAAAAAUACUAUGAGCUCUUACUAGUCAACCCUAUUUGGUUGGUCCCACCAACAAAGGCACUUGCAGUUACAUUCACCACAUUUGUAACGGAGCCAUUGAAGCACAUUGGAAAAGGAACUGGGGAAUUCAUUAAAGCACUCAUGAAGGAAAUUCCAGCGCUGCUUCAUCUUCCAGUGCUGAUAAUUAUGGCAUUAGCCAUCCUGAGUUUCUGCUAUGGUGCUGGCAAAUCAGUUCAUGUGCUGAGACAUAUAGGCGGUCCUGAGAGAGAACCUCCCCAGGCACUUUGGCCACGGGAUAGAAGACGGCAGGAGGAAAUUGAUUAUAGACCUGAUGGUGGGGCAGGUGAUGCAGAGUUCUAUUAUAGGGGCCAGACUGGCCCCAUUGAGCAAGGCCCUUAUGCUAAAACGUAUGAGGGUAGAAGAGAGACUUUGAGAGAGAGAGACGUUGACUUGAGAUUUCAGACUGGCAACAAGAGCCCUGAAGUGCUCCGGGCAUUUGAUGUACCAGACGCAGAGGCACGAGAGCAUCCCACGGUGGUACCCGGUCAGAAAUCACCUGUUUUGGAUACGAAGCCCAAGGAGAUAGGUGGAAUCCUGGGGGAAGGCACACUGAAAGAAAGCAGUACUGAAAGCAGCCAGUCUGCCAAGCCUGUCUCUGGCCAAGACACAUCAGGGAAUACAGAAGGUUCACCUGCAGCGGAAAAGGCCCAGCUCAAGUCUGAAGCUGUGGGCAGCCCAGACCAAGGCAACACAUACAGCCCCACAAGUGGUGUGGCUGGACCACGUGGGCAGGAUCCGGUCAGCAGUCCCUGUGGCUAGAGGAACACCAGCACAAACGACAGCCUCAAGUCUCCUUCGAGCUCUGUAAAAUAUCCAUUUGGGGAUGGAAUCUACUUUGACAGCUAGCAAGGCAACGUGCAACUGCUGUUGAAUGAUGACAGCAAUCCAGGAAAGACUUAAAUAUGAAAGCAAAUUGAACACAUCAGGGCCAGUUUAUUAUCAGAAAAGAGAUAAGGCUUAUUGAUGAGCCAAUAUGUCAUUAAAAUUAAGGUUUAUAGUGUGAAGCUUUUUUAAAGUUUAAUUUUACUUUGAGAGUUUUGCUCUGUCGCCCAGGCUGGAGUGCGGUGGCGCAAUCUUGGGUCACUGCAACCUCCACCUCCUGGGUUCAAGCGAGCGAUUCUCCUGCCUCAGCCUCCCAAGUAGCUGGGAUUACAGGUGUGCAUCACCACACCCGGCUAAUUUUUGUAUUUUUAGUAGAGACGGAGUUUCGUCAGGCUGGUCUUGAACUCCUGACCUCAAGUGAUCUGCCCUUGUCGGCCUCCCACAGUGUUGGGAUUACAGGUGUGAGCCAUCGUGCCCAGCCUAUAUAGUGUGAAGCUUUUAGGAAAAUCAGAACAGGGUAGAUAGACAGCUAUUAAAAACAAUGUUUAAACGGAAUAAUGUUGAAUGUUUACAGGCUGUAAGAACUAGUGUAUACACAAAAUAAACUUUUUACAUUGUGGUUUGGUA